rnacentral:lncRNA from 1 species
UAGCCCAUUUAGCAUAAAUCAUUAAGAAUAUGUAUCAAAAAUUAUGUAGUGACAUCUGUCUCAAUAGUCGAUACAAGUCAUUUAUAAAUAGCAAGUUGUAAUCACAAGAGAAGAUCUUUUGGCCAAUCAAAUUUCUUGCUUCUAUCCUUUAAUUCCUUUCUUUUAGUUAUUUAGUUCAACUCUAGUUUAUUAUUAGUCACAGUAUAAACAUGUAGCCCCGGUUAUAUCCUACCUCCUCUUUUUUUUUAAGCAAGUGGAAUUACAAUCAAUAAUAAAAAUCCUUGAAGGCUAAGGCACUUGGACCUACACUACUAUUCCUUUCCCUUAUCUUCUCCCACGCACAUGUAGGAACCUGCCAAAGGAAGCCCAUGAAAUCUCUCCAAUAGAGGAUUUUCCGACCAACAUCUUCCUUUUCUAGCAUGUUCAGUGGAACAGUUCACAUAGCUAUAUCAUGCCACCGAGAUAGAGGAUGGAUGCUCCAUCAUUAGGACUACUAGGGAGUCUAUCACACAAUGCCAAAAAGUCUUAGAGUUUCUAGGUUGGCAUAUCUGGACUAGCUCCUCCAAUCCAUAAGCAGUUGACAUCUUCGGUGGCUAGACCGGGUCCACUCCUCCUAGGGAGCUUGGCAUUGAAAGCCAUGUCCCAUAGAUAGAAAUGAUUCAUUUGCUAGCUAGUCGCUCUCAGGAAAUGUUCAUGUAGUUCAAAUCCUACAUGAACAAGAGCCAGCACAGUCAUUUGAAAGCAUUCAUAUGUCAAAUGGCUAUUGUAUUAAGGUCA